CCUCUUUGUUUAACUGUUUGUUGUGAAACCUUCAGACUCUGGUACCAGAACCCAGGAUUUUUCACGGCCAGACAGAGAGCUGCUCUGGGUUCUGCCUCUCUGUCCAGGAUCAUCUGCGACAACACAGACAUCACAAUGGUUCCGGCAAAUUCUUUUGACGCCAUCUCAAACAGAAACCGUCUCGUCCGCUGCAACAACAUCCGAGCCCUGGAUCUAGCUGCCUGGUUGGAAAGACCAAUCGGUCCUAGGUGUUUAGGUGCUGACUGUGUUGAAGGCUUUGGAGCAGAGAAUAUAACUCAGCCACUGACCGACCCCCCAGUCCUGGUAUUGGAUGAGG